rnacentral:rRNA from 1 species
AGAGUUUGAUCCUGGCUCAGGACGAACGCUGGCGGCGCGCCUAACACAUGCAAAGUCGAGCGAGAACCGGAGCUUCGGCUCCGGGGACAGCGGCGAACGGGUGAGUAACACGUGGAUAACCUGCCCUCGGCACCGGAAUAGCCCGGGGAAACCCGGAUUAAUGCCGGAUAGCCCCACAUCCCUGCGGGGAACGUGGGAAAAGGUAGCUUCGGCCUCUGGCCGAGGAUGGGUCCGCGGUGGAUUAGCUUGUUGGUGGGGUAAUGGCCCACCAAGGCGACGAUCCAUAGCUGGUCUGAGAGGACGAUCAGCCACACUGGGACUGAGACACGGCCCAGACUCCUACGGGAGGCAGCAGUGGGGAAUCUUGCGCAAUGGGCGAAAGCCUGACGCAGCGACGCCGCGUGCGGGAAGAAGGCCUUAGGGUUGUAAACCGCUUUCAGGAGGGACGAAGCCACUCGGGUGAAUAGCCCAGAGGGUGACGGUACCUCCAGAAGAAGCCCCGGCUAACUACGUGCCAGCAGCCGCGGUA